UGUAUGAGCAAAAUGCGAGGA
rnacentral:miRNA from 1 species